rnacentral:rRNA from 1 species
AUUGAACGCUGGCGGCAGGCCUAACACAUGCAAGUCGAGCGGAUGACGGGAGCUUGCUCCUUGAUUCAGCGGCGGACGGGUGAGUAAUGCCUAGGAAUCUGCCUGGUAGUGGGGGGCAACGUUUCGAAAGGAAUGCUAAUACCGCAUACGUCCUACGGGAGGAAGCAGGGGACCUUCGGGCCUUGCGCUAUCAGAUGAGCCUAGGUCGGAUUAGCUAGUUGGUGAGGUAAUGGCCCACCAAGGCUACGAUCCGUAACUGGUCUGAGAGGAUGAUCAGUCACACUGGAACUGAGACACGGUCCAGACUCCUACGGGAGGCAGCAGUGGGGAAUAUUGGACAAUGGGCGAAAGCCUGAUCCAGCCAUGCCGCGUGUGUGAAGAAGGUCUUCGGAUUGUAAAGCACUUUAAGUUGGGAGGAAGGGCAGUAAGUUAAUACCUUGCUGUUUUGACGUUACCGACAGAAUAAGCACCGGCUAACUUCGUGCCAGCCGCCGCGGUAAAAC